UGCCCUUUCAACCUUGCACAGCUGUCUGCAAGUGUACCGAGCAGUGCAAUGUUGAAAAAGGGCAUUGGUU
ensembl:miRNA microRNA 130a